rnacentral:rRNA from 1 species
GUAACACGUGUGCAACCAACCCCGUACAGGGAGAUAACCCGCGGAAACGUGGACUAACACCCCAUAAUACCUUUCCCCCGCAUGGGGGGGAGUUUAAAACCCCGGUGGUACGGGACGGGCACGCGCGACAUUAGGUAGUUGGCGGGGUAACGGCCCACCAAGCCGACGAUGUCUAGGGGUUCUGAGAGGAAGGUCCCCCACACUGGAACUGAGACACGGUCCAGACUCCUACGGGAGGCAGCAGUGAGGAAUAUUGGUCAAUGGGCGAGAGCCUGAACCAGCCAAGUCGCGUGAGGGAAGAAUGGUCUAUGGCCUGUAAACCUCUUUUGUCAAGGAAGAACAUGUAGUACGUGUACUACCCUGCCAGUACUUGACGAAUAAGCAUCGGCUAACUCCGUGCCAGCAGCCGCGGUAAUACGGGGGAUGCGAGCGUUAUCCGGAUUUAUUGGGUUUAAAGGGCGCGUAGGCGGGACGUCAAGUCAGCGGUAAAAGACUGCAGCUAAACUGUAGCACGCCGUUGAAACUGUCGACCUGGAGACGAGACGAGGGAGGCGGAACAAGUGAAGUAGCGGUGAAAUGCAUAGAUAUCACUUGGAACCCCGAUAGCGAAGGCAGCUUCCCAGGCUCGAUCUGACGCUGAUGCGCGAGAGCGUGGGUAGCGAACAGGAUUAGAUACCCUGGUAGUCACGCCGUAAACGAUGCUCACUGGAUCUUGGCGAUACACGGCCAGGGUUCAAGCGAAAGUAUUAAGUGAGCCACCUGGGGAGUACGUCGGCAACGAUGGAACUCAAAGGAAUUGACGGGGGCCCGCACAAGCGGAGGAACAUGUGGUUUAAUUCGAUGAUACGCGAGGAACCUUACCCGGGUUUAAAUGCAGGUUGCAUGAGGUGGAAACACCUCUUUCCCUCGGGACUACCUGCAAGGUGCUGCAUGGUUGUCGUCAGCUCGUGCCGUGAGGUGUCGGGUUAAGUCCCAUAACGAGCGCAACCCCUAUCGCCAGUUGCCAUCGGUUUCGGCCGGGCACUCUGUCGAGACCGCCACCGUAAGGUGCGAGGAAGGCGGGGAUGACGUCAAAUCAGCACGGCCCUUACACCCGGGGCGACACACGUGUUACAAUGGCCGGUACAGAGGGCAGCCACGGGGCGACCCGGAGCGAAUCUCUAAAGCCGGUCGUAGUUCGGACUGGAGUCUGCAACCCGACUCCACGAAGUUGGAUUCGCUAGUAAUCGCGCAUCA